rnacentral:lncRNA from 1 species
GAAUCUAUACAUGUUUUGUCAAGUCAUGUUCAUCCAUAUUGUCAACAAUUCAUAGUAGUCCUUUUAUUUGGCUUAAUUGUUUCUUGAUUUUGGGUCUCUUUAAUUGCUUGAAUCUGCUGUUCUUUGCUCUUUUGGUGCCUUUUUAAUUUUAGUUUGAGUUCCAUUUGUGUUUAGAUCAUACACAAAUUCUAUUUCACAAAUUUCCAUUGUGUCUAAACUUUGGUAUCUU